UACGUAGGGUGCAAGCGUUGUCCGGAAUUAUUGGGCGUAAAGAGCUCGUAGGCGGCUUGUCACGUCACUGUGAAAAACCCCGGGGGCUCAACUCCGGGCCUGCAGUCGAUACGGGCUGGCUUGAGUGCGGUAGGGGGAGACUGGAAUUCCUGGUGUAGCGGUGAAAAUGCGCAGAUAUCAGGAGGAACACCGGUGGCGAAAGGGCGGGGUCUCUGGGGCAACAACUGACGCUGAGGAGCGAAAAGCGUGGGGGAGC
rnacentral:rRNA from 1 species